rnacentral:rRNA from 1 species
UGACGGUACCUGCAGAAGAAGCACCGGCUAACUACGUGCCAGCAGCCGCGGUAAUACGUAGGGUGCGAGCGUUAUCCGGAAUUAUUGGGCGUAAAGAGCUCGUAGGCGGUUUGUCGCGUCUGUCGUGAAAGUCCGGGGCUUAACCCCGGAUCUGCGGUGGGUACGGGCAGACUAGAGUGCAGUAGGGGAGACUGGAAUUCCUGGUGUAGCGGUGGAAUGCGCAGAUAUCAGGAGGAACACCGAUGGCGAAGGCAGGUCUCUGGGCUGUAACUGACGCUGAGGAGCGAAAGCAUGGGGAGCGAACAGGAUUAGAUACCCUGGUAGUCCAUGCCGUAAACGUUGGGCACUAGGUGUGGGGACCAUUCCACGGUUUCCGCGCCGCAGCUAACGCAUUAAGUGCCCCGCCUGGGGAGUACGGCCGCAAGGCUAAAACUCAAAGGAAUUGACGGGGGCCCGCACAAGCGGCGGAGCAUGCGGAUUAAUUCGAUGCAACGCGAAGAACCUUACCAAGGCUUGACAUGUUCUCGAUCGCCGUAGAGAUACGGUUUCCCCUUUGGGGCGGGUUCACAGGUGGUGCAUGGUUGUCGUCAGCUCGUGUCGUGAGAUGUUGGGUUAAGUCCCGCAACGAGCGCAACCCUCGUUCCAUGUUGCCAGCACGUCGUGGUGGGGACUCAUGGGAGACUGCCGGGGUCAACUCGGAGGAAGGUGAGGACGACGUCAAAUCAUCAUGCCCCUUAUGUCUUGGGCUUCACGCAUGCUACAAUGGCCGGUACAAUGGGUUGCGAUACUGUGAGGUGGAGCUAAUCCCAAAAAGCCGGUCUCAGUUCGGAUUGGGGUCUGCAACUCGACCCCAUGAAGUCGGAGUCGCUAGUAA